UCUUGGCUAAGGUGUCUUGACUAAGGUGUCUUGGCUAAGGUGUCUUGGCUAAGGUGUCUUGGCUAAGGUGUCUUGGCUAAGGUGUCUUGAAUAAUGUGUCUUGGCUAAGGUGUCUUGGCUAAGGUGUCUUGGCUAAGGUGACUUGGCUAAUGUGUCUCGGCUAAGGUGUCUUGGCUAAGGUGUCUUGGCUAAUGUGUCUUGGCUAAGGUGUCUUGGCUGAGGUGUCUUGGCUAAGGUGUCUUGGCUAAUGUGUCUCGGCUAAGGUGUCUUGGCUAAGGUGUCUUGGCUAAGGUGUCUUGGCUAAUGUGUCUUGGCUAAUGUGUCUUGGCUAAGGUGUCUUGGCUAAGGUGUCUUGGCUAAGGUGUCUUGGCUAAGGUGUCUUGGCUAAUGUGUCUCGGCUAAGGUGUCUUGGCUAAUGUGUCUUGGCUAAGGUGUCUUGGCUAAGGUGUCUUGGCUAAGGUGUCUCGGCUAAGGUGUCCUGGCUAAGGUGUCUUGGCUAAGGUGUCUUGGCUAAGGUGUCUUGGCUAAGGUGUCUUGGCUAAUGUGUCUCGGCUAAAGUGUCUUGGCUAAUGUGUCUUGGCUAAGGUGUCUUGGCUAAGGUGUCUUGGCUAUUGUGUCUUGGCUAAAGUGUCUUGGCUAAGGUGUCUUGGCUAAGGUGUCUUGGCUAAGGUGUCUUGGCUAAUGUGUCUUGGCUUAAGUGUCUUGGCUAAGGUGUCUUGGCUAAUGUGUCUCGGCCAAAGUGUCUUGGCUAAGGUGUCUUGACUAAGGUGUCUUGGCUAAUGUGUCUUGGCUAAGGUGUCUUGGCUAAUGUGUCUCGGCUAAGGUGUCUUGGCUAAGGUGUCUUGGCUAAUGUGUCUUGGCUAAAGUGUCUUGGCUAAGGUGUCUUGGCUAAUGUGUCUCGGCUAAGGUGUCUUGGCUAAGGUGUCUUGGCUAAGGUGUCUUGGCUAAGGUGUCUUGGCUAAUGUGUCUUAGCUAAGGUGUCUUGGCUAAUGUGUUUUGGCUAAGGUGUCUUGGCUAAUGUGUCUUGGCUAAGGUGUCUUGGCUAAAGUGUCUUGGCUAAGGUGUCUUGGCUAAGGUGUCUUGGCUAAGGUGUCUUGGCUAAGGUGUCUUGGCUAAUGUGUCUUGGCUAAGGUGUCUUGGCUAAUGUGUCUUGGCUAAUGUGUCUUGGCUAAGGUGUCUUGGCUAAUGUGUUUUUGCUAAGGUGUCUUGGCUAAGGUGUCUUGGCUAAGGUGUCUCGGCUAAUGUGUCUUGGCUAAGGUGUCU